UCUUUUCCUUGUGUGCCAGCCGCCGCGGUAAUACGGAGGAUCCGAGCGUUAUCCGGAUUUAUUGGGUUUAAAGGGAGCGUAGGCGGGUUGUUAAGUCAGUUGUGAAAGUUUGCGGCUCAACCGUAAAAUUGCAGUUGAUACUGGCGACCUUGAGUGCAACAGAGGUAGGCGGAAUUCGUGGUGUAGCGGUGAAAUGCUUAGAUAUCACGAAGAACUCCGAUUGCGAAGGCAGCUUACUGGAUUGUAACUGACGCUGAUGCUCGAAAGUGUGGGUAUCAAACAGG
rnacentral:rRNA from 1 species